rnacentral:tRNA from 1 species
AUUUAAAUAAUUUAAAAUUUUUAAAAUAUUGAUUUGUGGGAUCAAAUAUGUAAAUAUUUACUUUAAAUA